GACGAACCGGACGAACGUUAUUCGGAAUUACUGGGCUUAAAGGGUUCGUAGGCGGCCUUGUAAGUGAGAUGUGAAAUCCCUCGGCUCAACCGAGGAAGUGCAUUUCAUACUGCAAGGCUUGAGGGAGACAGAGGUAAGCGGAACUGAUGGUGGAGCGGUGAAAUGCGUUGAUAUCAUCAGGAACACCGGUGGCGAAAGCGGCUUACUGGGUCUCUUCUGACGCUGAGGAACGAAAGCUAGGGGAGCGAACGGG
rnacentral:rRNA from 1 species